rnacentral:rRNA from 1 species
UACGAAGGGGGCUAGCGUUGCUCGGAAUCAUUGGGCGUAAAGAGCGUGUAGGCGGCUCGGUAAGUCCGCUGUGAAAGUCCAGGGCUCAACCCUGGAAUGCCGGUGGAUACUGUCGGGCUAGAGUCCGGAAGAGGCGAGUGGAACUCCUGGUGUAGCGGUGAAAUGCGCAGAUAUCAGGAAGAACACCAACGGCGAAGGCAGCUCGCUGGGACGGUACUGACGCUGAGACGCGAAAGCGUGGGGAGCAAACAGG